rnacentral:rRNA from 1 species
AGUGAACGCUGGCGGCAGGCCUAACACAUGCAAGUCGAGCGGCAGCACGGGUACUUGUACCUGGUGGCGAGCGGCGGACGGGUGAGUAAUGCCUAGGAAUCUGCCUGGUAGUGGGGGAUAACGCUCGGAAACGGACGCUAAUACCGCAUACGUCCUACGGGAGAAAGCAGGGGACCUUCGGGCCUUGCGCUAUCAGAUGA